rnacentral:lncRNA from 1 species
CCGUUGUUGAAGUCCUCAACCUUCCGCUCGCUCAUGGCUCAGAGGUGGGGUGGACAACAAAAUUGACUUUUAAUGAAGAGUGGUUACUGAACCUAACAGCAAGAAACUUGUGUACAGAAGCAAAGCAAAGGCAAUUAGCCCAGUUGUGACCAUUUUGUAACUUAGCAUACCGUGGUGGCCUUGAUCAGAUUUCACUGCAGCUGAAGAAAACAGAAAUUAUUUUCUGUACCUACUGAUUACCCCUUAGAACAUGAGAGGCUGCAUUUACAGUAACUAGAGGAAGACAUAGAGGUAAUCUGGAAUCUACUUGUCACAGUUUGUAGAUUUUAUGAUGCAAUUUUUGUCCAGUAAUUUUAGCAAAAACAUAUUGAAGAUGUAUAUUGUCCUGAUGAGAACUGGAGUGAGAUGGUGGAGAAAGGAGCCAUCUAAGAUUCAUGCAAUGGAUUUUCAAAUCCAAUGACUGUUUAUGAAAAUAAUUUUGUACCCUCAGCAUCUAUGUUCAAUGCAGCUGAAAUCUUCCCAGAGCGAAGAAAUGCAUCAAAAAAGAAAAAGGAAAUGAAGAAAGAGGGAAGAAAAAAGAAAAAAGAAAAAAGAAAGGAAACAGAUUUUACUUUUAGCUCAUCUUCAGAUUUGCAAGAGAC